rnacentral:rRNA from 1 species
CCUACGGGUGGCAGCAGUGAGGAAUAUUGGUCAAUGGGCGCGAGCCUGAACCAGCCAAGUCGCGUGAGGGAAGACGGUCCUAUGGAUUGUAAACCUCUUUUGUCGGGGAGCAAAAGACGCCACGCGUCGCGUUCCGAGAGUACCCGAAGAAAAAGCAUCGGCUAACUCCGUGCCAGCAGCCGCGGUAAUACGGAGGAUGUGAGCGUUAUCCGGAUUUGUUUGGUUAAAAGGGUGCGCAGGCGGAAGAUCAAGUCAGCGGUAAAAUUGAGAGGCUCAACCUCUUCGAGCCGUUGAAACUGGUUUUAUUGAGUGAGCAAGAAGUAUGAGGAAUGUGAGGUGGAGCGGUGAAAUGCAUAGCU